GUAGGGUGCAAGCGUUGCCCGGAUUUAUUGGGCGUAAAGGGCGCGUAGGCGGCUCGGCACGUCCGUUGUGAAAUCGCCCGGCUCAACUGGGCGGGGUCAGCGGAUACGGCCGAGCUGGAGCAAGCUAGGGGGCAAUGGAAUUCCCGGUGUAGUGGUGGAAUGCGUAGAUAUCGGGAGGAACACCAGUGGCGAAGGCGGUUGCCUGGGGCUUUGCUGACGCUGAUGCGCGAAAGCGUGGGGAGCGAUCCGGAUUAGAUACCCGGGUAGUCCACGCCGUAAACGAUGCGGACUAGGUGUCGGGGGUAUCGACCCCCUCGGCGCCGCAGCUAACGCACUAAGUCCGCCGCCUGGGGACUACGGCCGCAAGGCUAAA
rnacentral:rRNA from 1 species